rnacentral:rRNA from 1 species
GAUGAACGCUAGCUACAGGCUUAACACAUGCAAGUCGAGGGGAAACGGCAUCGAAAGCUUGCUUUUGAUGGGCGUCGACCGGCGCACGGGUGAGUAACGCGUAUCCAACCUGCCCAUCACUUGGGAAUAACCUUGCGAAAGUAAGACUAAUGCCCAAUGACAUCCCACGAAGGCAUCCGAAUGGGAUUAAAGAUUUAUCGGUGAUGGAUGGGGAUGCGUCUGAUUAGCUUGUUGGCGGGGUGACGGCCCACCAAGGCAACGAUCAGUAGGGGUUCUGAGAGGAAGGUCCCCUACAUUGGAACUGAGACACGGUCCAAACUCCUACGGGAGGCAGCAGUGAGGAAUAUUGGUCAAUGAGCGAGAGCCUGAACCAGCCAAGUAGCGUGAAGGAGGACGGCACUAGGGGUUGUAAACUGCUUUUAUAAGGGAAUAAAGUGGGUAACGUGUGACUUUUUGCAUGUACCUUAUGAAUAAGGACCGGCUAAUUCCGUG